rnacentral:rRNA from 1 species
AUACGGAGGGUGCAAGCAUUAAUCGGAUGUAUUGGGCGUAAAGGGCGCGUAGGCGGAUGUAUAAGUCAGAUGUGAAAUUUCGGGGCUCAACCCCGAAGCUGCAUUUGAAACUGUACGUCUUAGAGGGUAGGCGGAGAAAAUGGAAUUCCACAUGUAGCGGUGAAAUGCGUAGAUAUGUGGAAGAACACCUGUGGCGAAAGCGGUUUUCUAGCUUAUUUCUGACGCUGAGGCGCGAGAGCAAGGGGAGCAAACAGGAUUAGAAACCCCUGUAGUCC